UGGGGAAUUUUGCACAAUGGGGGAAACCCUGAUGCAGCGACGCCGCGUGAUUUAGAAGGCCUUCGGGUUGUAAAAAUCUUUUCUAUGGGAAGAAUAUGACAGUACCAUAGGAAUAAGGACCGGCUAAUUACGUGCCAGCAGCCGCGGUAAUACGUAAGGUCCGAGCGUUGUCCGGAAUCAUUGGGCGUAAAGGGUACGUAGGCGGGUAAGCAAGUUAGAUGUGAAAUCCUAUAGCUCAACUAUAGUAAGCUUUUAAAACUGCUCAUCUUGAGGUAUGGAAGGGAAAGUGGAAUUCCUAGUGUAGCGGUGAAAUGCGCAGAUAUUAGGAGGAAUACCGGUGGCGAAGGCGACUUUCUGGCCAUAACCUGACGCUGAGGUACGAAAGCGUGGGUAGCAAACAGG
rnacentral:rRNA from 1 species